UACGUAGGGUGCGAGCGUUGUCCGGAAUUAUUGGGCGUAAAGGGCUCGUAGGCGGUUUGUCGCGUCGGGAGUGAAAACCAGGUGCUUAACACCUGGCUUGCUUUCGAUACGGGCAGACUAGAGGUAUGCAGGGGAGAACGGAAUUCCUGGUGUAGCGGUGAAAUGCGCAGAUAUCAGGAGGAACACCGGUGGCGAAGGCGGUUCUCUGGGCAUGACCUGACGCUGAGGAGCGAAAGCGUGGGGAGCAAACAGG
rnacentral:rRNA from 1 species